rnacentral:rRNA from 1 species
AUUGAACGCUGGCGGCAUGCCUUACACAUGCAAGUCGAACGGUAACAGGUCUUCGGAUGCUGACGAGUGGCGAACGGGUGAGUAGUACAUCGGAACGUGCCCGAGAGUGGGGGAUAACGAGGCGAAAGCUUUGCUAAUACCGCAUACGAUCUCAGGAUGAAAGCAGGGGACCGCAAGGCCUUGCGCUCACGGAGCGGCCGAUGGCAGAUGAGGUAGUUGGUGGGAUAAAAGCUUACCAAGCCGACGAUCUGUAGCUGGUCUGAGAGGACGACCAGCAACACUGGGACGGAGACACGGCCCAGACUCCUACGGGAGGCAGCAGUGGGGAAUUUUGGACAAUGGGCGCAAGCCUGAUCCAGCCAUGCCGCGUGCAGGAUGAAGGCCUUCGGGUUGUAAACUGCUUUUGUACGGAACGAAAAGACUCUGGUUAAUACCUGGGGUCCAUGACGGUACCGUAAGAAUAAGCACCGGCUAACUACGUGCCAGCCGCCGCCGUAAAAC